CAUCCAUGGCGAACGAGGUAGUAAGACAUAGGAACGAACCCCAAAGUCGAACAUAAUCCGUCGAAAGACGGAAUAAUUUUCGAUAGUCUCUCCGGAGUAAAGUCGCAAGACGCUUUGGGCUCGGCCUUUGUAGUAUCAGCUAGUUGGUAAGGUAAAAGCUUACCAAGGCAAUGACGCUUAGGGGAGGUGAGAGCCUGACCCCCACCGAUGGGACUGAGAUACGGCCCAUACACCUACGGGUGGCUGCAGUCGAGAAUCUUCCACAAUGGGCGAAAGCCUGAUGGAGCGACGCCGCGUGAUUGAUGAAGCCCUUCGGGGCGUAAAGAUCUUUUAUGAGGGAAGAAACCCGCUAGUCGGGAUUGACGGUACCUCAUGAAUAAGGACCUGCUAAACUCGUGCCAGCAGCAGCGGUAAUACGAGUGGUCCAAGCAUUAUCCGGAAUUAUUGGGCGUAAAGGGUGUGUAGGUGGCAUAGUUAGUCUCCCGUUAAAGCCUUGGGCUUAACCCAAGAAUCGCGGGGGAAACGGCUAAGCUAGAGGGGGCGAGAGGCUGAUGGAACUCAUGGUGUAGGAGUGAAAUCCGUUGAUAUCAUGGGGAACACCGAAGGCGAAGGCAGUCAGCUGGCGCUCACCUGACACUGAAACACGAAAGCGUGGGUUUCGAACGGGAUUAGAUACCCCGGUAGUCCACGCCCUAAACGAUGAUCUCUAGCUUUUCGGAGUAUCGACCCUCUGAGAGGCGAAGCUAACGCGUUAAGAGAUCCGCCUGGGAAGUACGGCCGCAAGGCUAAAACUCAAAAGAAUAGACGGGGACUCGCACAAGCAGUGGAUCAUGUGGUUUAAUUCGACACUAAACGAAGAACCUUACCAGGGCUUGAAAUUCAAUUGAAAUCCACCAGAAACGGUGGACCUCUCACAAGGACAAUUGGACAGGUGAUGCAUGGCUGUCGUCAGUUCGUGGUUUGAAUUGUUCCCUUAAGUGGGGUAACGAACGCAACCCUUGUCGUCUGUUAUACGUGUCAGACGAGACUGUCCCGUUUAACGGGAAGGAAGCGAGGAUGACGCCAAGUCAGCAUGUCCCUUUGACGCCCUGGGCUACACACAUGAUACAAUCGCCGUUACAAUAGGCCGCGACGGGGAAACCCUGAGCUAAUCCUAAAAAACGGCGCCAGUUCGGAUUGAGGUCUGCAACUCGACCUCAUGAAGCCGGAAUUGCUAGUAAUCGCAGGUCAGCUAUACUGCGGUGAAUACGUUCUCGAGUCUUGUACUCACUGCCCGUCAAGCCAAGGGAGCCGGGAGUACCCAAAGCACCACUUUGGUGGUUCUAAGGUAAGUUCGGUAACAAGGGUUAAGUCGUCCAGUCAAUCU
rnacentral:rRNA from 1 species